rnacentral:rRNA from 1 species
GACGAACGCUGGCGGCGUGCUUAACACAUGCAAGUCGAACGGAAAGGCCCUGCUUUUGUGGGGUGCUCGAGUGGCGAACGGGUGAGUAACACGUGAGUAACCUGCCCUUGACUUUGGGAUAACUUCAGGAAGCUGGGGCUAAUACCGGAUAGGAGCUCCUGCUGCAUGGUGGGGGUUGGAAAGUUUCGGCGGUUGGGGAUGGACUCGCGGCUUAUCAGCUUGUUGGUGGGGUAGUGGCUUACCAAGGCUUUGACGGGUAGCCGGCCUGAGAGGGUGACCGGCCACAUUGGGACUGAGAUACGGUCCAGACUCCUACGGGAGGCAGCAGUGGGGAAUAUUGCACAAUGGGCGGAAGCCUGAUGCAGCAACGCCGCGUGCGGGAUGACGGCCUUCGGGUUGUAAACCGCUUUCGCCUGUGACGAAGCGUGAGUGACGGUAAUGGGUAAAGAAGCACCGGCUAACUACGUG